GGGGUAGGACAGUGAGUGAGUUUGAGACAUUUUGAAUAACAUUGAGUCAAAUUGAGCCACUCUCGUUACUCAGAAUUUCUCAAUCUUCACAAAGGACGUAACGAAUUUUGACACUGACAUUUCGAAUCUGACAGUGGCAAUUCGCACACCAUAAAAACAAUUUCGUGCGGGAUUUUUUCCGCGCCACAAUUAAAUCGACGGAACAAGUUACCUGGUUCUAGUAGGCAAUUCCGUUCCACGAUGGAUGACGUGAUAGGUUCCACCGGGAGAAGUACAGGACACGAUUUCGAUUCAGAUGGUUGGCCGGAACUGCCUUGCUGGAACCGACACGAAAAAGCUAGGUAUUGGCUACUGGUGGUCCGGAAUCGGAAACUUUAUUUGCCAAACUUGACAUUGAAAUAGCUAAGCUCUCUUUUACUCUGUAGGAGAAUGAAAUUACCGAUAUGAUCAAGAUCGGCAAGGAAACGGAUGAGAAGAAGGCUAACCAUAAUUCGCAACCCGAGCUCGACGCGGAAAAAGCGGGCCAACGCCACCGACCGAACUCAAAACAAGUGGGACCAAUUUGACCUGGAGCUCUGGCGAAUAUGUUCAUUGAGGCGGAAGAAAACAAAAUGGUUAGAACAGCGCGAAGGUUAACGAUGGUCAUUGAGAAACAGAGACAAGCAUCAACGUCUUACAAUGCAAAUCACUCACUUUAAAAUAAAACUAAGUAUAAUUUAAUAAGAAUCAUUAAUCUUUUAAUGCAUAUCCCAAUUAAAAGCACCUUCUCUCGGGGCAAUAAUUUCCAGGUUCCGGAACACUCCCACAGCAACAAGCUUACUGACCCAUGGUUCAUCCGAUAUGUAAUAUUCCUUGUAAUAUUCAGUCUUUAAUCGUACCGGUGACCAGCGUCGCGUUUCCUUGGCACAGCACCACAAGUGACCAGCCAUUGCCGGACGCCAAAGGUGAUCUCAUCUCGAUCGGGAAGAUUCGCCUUUUCGGGAAGUUCUUUUGAUCGAUCAUUUUGGCCAGACGUUACAUAAAUGUGGGUAUUGACGGCGUGUUACGACGGUAGGCGAUUCGUUCGAUAAACAGCUUUGAGUUUGGCCAAGUUACAGAAGCCGUCCAAGACAGGUUCCAACCUUGAACAUACAAUUUGGGCCGCUCUCCUUUGUUCCACCGGAAAGUUGCUAUUUCCAAAGCGCCUAGGAGAACUAUCAGUAGCCACAAUGGGUGUAGCCCCCGGUAGGCCACAAUUUACUGCCAACUGGUCACCAGCAAUGCCGGAGCCAAAGUCGGAGCGGUUGAGUUUGCGGGAGCCAGCUUGCCACCAAGUUGAGAACCGCCUCGUGGCCGCAUUUGACGAUCUCGAGCCGCACCAUUCCUUGGAACUGCAUCAUCGUCGCCGGGUUAUCACUCCGGAAUGGUUCCGUCCACUGCGGAAUCAACUCAAAAUAGCGGAACUUGCGCAGCAUCUCGGCAGAUUUCGAGCUGAAAAAUAUUUCCUAACCAAACAUUUUUGUUAACACGCACAUCUGUCAAAAUGUAUAUUAGGGUGGGUCAUUUUUUUCGAAAGUGCUCGGAUCUGGCUGAAAUAAAGUCCAUCUAGUAGAGGGUACCCAUAGGGACUCUCAUACCAAAUUUGAGCUCAUUUGGUUGAAAACUGGCUUGUCGCUCGGGGGUUAAAGUUUACAUGGAAAUUACUAUGGGAAAUGUGUGAUUUUACUUCAAACGCUCCUACAAGCUAAGCGACAAACUUUAGUCCACACUUACACUAGGUAGCCGUGUCGGGGGUGGUCCAAGGAACAUUUUUCUCUAAGGGUUCAUGGUCAUCCGUUCAACCCCGAGUUUGCGCAUCGCAGAUUUAACCGGCGACGCCGGAAUCCUUCGAAAUCUCAGUUUUAACGGUCAACGCAUGCUACGAAACUAUGACAGAAGCAUUGUUUGAAUGAUUGAAAAACCCGACGCCGAACGUCAACAAACUAAACUGGAAGCAAUAAGUGAGGGGUUGCGCUCUCCCAACAAGGUGUUUUAACUUUAAAAUAUGUUUCAGAUCAAGUGGAUGGGCUGCGACGAUUCCGGAAACUCCUGGGAACCGGAGGAAAAUCUAAACUGCCAGGAUCUUCUGGAAAAACUGCGUGCGAGGAAGGCGAGAGAGGACACGUGGAGGUAGUUACGGUUGGACUUUAUGGAGGGAAGCGGUUGGUCGACGCACAGGGUCAGCGGAAUAGACGCCUGGCAGGGCCAGCGGCAUCGUCGGCGGAUUUUCUCCGGAAGAGCCAACGGGAAAUACAGAACAGGGGUGAAUUGGCCUUUAUGAAGCGGUUAUCAUCAGCUUACCUAGAUACUAUUCCUAUUAGUGAAAAACAUACUAGAGAAUAUAGCUUUUUUUUUAUUUUGUAGACCAAUAAAAGUUAUUUUAUUCAAGUUUCAUGAA